UACGUAGGGUGCAGGCGUUAAUCGGAAUUACUGGGCGUAAAGCGUGCGCAGGCGGUCUUUUAAGUCAGAUGUGAAAUCCCCGGGCUUAACCUGGGAACUGCGUUUGAAACUGAAAGGCUAGAGUGUGGCAGAGGGGGGUGGAAUUCCACGUGUAGCAGUGAAAUGCGUAGAGAUGUGGAGGAACACCGAUGGCGAAGGCAGCCCCCUGGGCUAUCACUGACGCUCAUGCACGAAAGCGUGGGGAGCAAACAGG
rnacentral:rRNA from 1 species